ensembl:misc_RNA Metazoa_SRP Metazoan signal recognition particle RNA
GCUGGGUGUGGUGGUGCACACCUGUAAUCCCAGCUACCCAGGAGGCUGAGGCAGGGGAAUCACUUGAACCCGGGAGGCAGAGGUUGCAGUGAGCCGAGAUCGAGCCACUGCAUCACAGCCUGGGCGACAGAGCAAGACUCUGCCUCAA